CAGCGACACCUUGUAGCUGCAUUGAAGCAGCAAAUAUAGCAAUCGAACAACUCAAUAUUAAAUAGUCACUAAAUUCGACACAAUCAUAUAUAUAAAAGGGACAACAAAAAGAAUGCCACAAUGACCACGAAAAGUUACCUAAACAUUCACCUAAUUAGCCUCAAUCACAAAAAGGAACAACAAAGUUUGAAAAAUAAAAUACAGGAUGUCAUAAUAACUAUGGAGUAUUAGAUAUUUACCUAAUUAAACUCGAUCAUACAGAGUAAGAACAAAAUAAAAUCGAAAUAAACACCGAGAUACUACAAUGAUCACAUCGUAUUAUAUGACUUAACAGCGACAUCUGUAAGAAGGAUAUGCCUCAAUGACAACAAAGAAUUGCGAAAUAAUGCUGACUAAGCAUACACAGUAAACCAAUAUGGCGUGCCCAGCAACGGGCUUCUGGCUGCGAGAAUCAAUACCGUAUUUAACGGAUUUUUAUGUUGAAAGCGAUUGUUAGUGGCUAUUAGAGUAGUGCAGAAUAAUUAUGGGUUCUGCAGUAUUCGUGGCAUAUAGGUUGGGCGGAAAAUAUUAAAACAAGAACAGUACACAGCGAGCACACAACUUGACGAACAUGGAUGGGAAAAGCAGCACCACAGGGAUAGAAUUUACUCUCAACUGAAGAACUGCACAAGAUUUGUCGCUGUCGAGAAGAUUGGUAUCAUCAGCAAACAAUUUGGUAAAGAAGGAGGAACAACAAGUUAUGUCAUUUACAUAGACUAGAAAUAGAAGAGGACCCAAGCAACUACCUUGAGGAACUCCGUGAGUCACUGAUUUGAAAAGAGGGAUCACUCGGGCAAUUUUGAGACAUGCAGGGAAGAUUCCAAACAAAAGUGAACAAUUGAAGAAUUCAGCCAAACAUGGUGCAAUGAGAUCAGCAACUAAUUUAAGGAAACGUGCUGGUAUGUUGUCUGGACCAACUGCCUUCCUGUCUUUCAAAUUAUGUAUUUCUAUUAUCAAUUCAUUUGUAGUCGCUGGGCUCAUGAAGAUGGACUGGUUUAUACAAUUGUGAAGAAAUUGUUUAAAGCUAUCCUGUUCAGUGGAAAACUUGCCUGAAAGGCUAGACCCAAUUGUAGAAAAAUACUUAUUAAAUUCUGUAGCAAUCAAAAGUUCAUCUCUAAUUAUAGAGCCAUUUUCAAUAUCGAUCUCGUUAACUUUUUGAUUAGAUUUAUUUUUUACAUGAGUGAUUUCGUUAACUGUUUGCCAUGUUGACCUAGGAUUACCUUUGUUUUUAGCAAUAAGGUUUUGAUAAUAGGUUUGUUUUGAAUCAUCUAUGGCUCUAAUCAAAACAUUUCUAUACUUUUU